rnacentral:rRNA from 1 species
GGAGGAAUAUUGGUCAAUGGGCGCAAGCCUGAACCAGCCAUCCCGCGUGCAGGAAGACGGCCCUAUGGGUUGUAAACUGCUUUUCCAGGAGACGAAUAGUCUUUACGUGUAAGGGCAUGACGGUACCCUGGGAAUAAGCAUCGGCUAACUCCGUGCCAGCAGCCGCGGUAAUACGGAGGAUGCAAGCGUUAUCCGGAUUCAUUGGGUUUAAAGGGUGCGUAGGCGGGCUAUUAUGUCAGUGGUGAAAUCCUGCAGCUUAACUGCAGAACUGCCGUUGAAACUGAUAGUCUUGAGUUUGGUUAAGGUAGGCGGAAUGUGUAAUGUAGCGGUGAAAUGCUUAGAUAUUACACAGAACACCGAUUGCGUAGGCAGCUUACUGAGCCGACACUGACGCUGAGGCAC